GACGAACGCUGGCGGCGUGCUUAACACAUGCAAGUCGAACGGAAAGGCCCUGAUUUUGUGGGGUGCUCGAGUGGCGAACGGGUGAGUAACACGUGAGUAACCUGCCCUUGACUUUGGGAUAACUUCAGGAAAAUGGGGCUAAUACCGGAUAGGAGCUCCUGCUGCAUGGGGGGGGUUGGAAAGUUUCGGCUGUUGGGGAUGGAAUAGCGGCUUAUCAGCUUGUUUGUGGGGUAGUGGCUUACAAAGGCUUUGACGGGUAGCCGGCCUGGGAGGGUGACCGGCCACAUUGGGACUGAGAUACGGCCCAGUCUCCUACGGUAGGCAGCAGUGGGGAAUAUUGCACAAUGGGCGGAAGCCUGAGGCAGCAACGCCGCGUGCGUGAUAACGGCCUUCGGGUUGUAAACCGCUUUCGCCUGUGACGAAGCGUGAGUGACGGUAAUGGGUAAAGAAGCACCGGCUAACUACGUG
rnacentral:rRNA from 1 species